GAUGAACGCUGGCGGCGUGCCUAAUACAUGCAAGUAGAACGCUGAAGGAAGGAGCUUGCUCUUUCCGGAUGAGUUGCGAACGGGUGAGUAACGCGUAGGUAACCUGCCUGGUAGCGGGGGAUAACUAUUGGAAACGAUAGCUAAUACCGCAUAACAGUAGAUGUUGCAUGAUAUCUACUUAAAAGGUGCAAUUGCACCACUACCAGAUGGACCUGCGUUGUAUUAGCUAGUUGGUGAGGUAACGGCUCACCAAGGCGACGAUACAUAGCCGACCUGAGAGGGUGAUCGGCCACACUGGGACUGAGACACGGCCCAGACUACUACGGGAGGCAGCAGUAGGGAAUCUUCGGCAAUGGACGGAAGUCUGACCGAGCAACGCCGCGUGAGUGAAGAAGGUUUUCGGAUCGUAAAGAUCUGUUGUAAGAGAAGAACGAGUGUGAGAGUGGAAAGUUCACACUGUGACGGUAUCUGACCAGAAAGGGACGGCUAACUACGUG
rnacentral:rRNA from 1 species